rnacentral:misc_RNA from 1 species
UCAAGUGUUGUACUUGUUGAAAAGGACAGAUCAUAUAUAAAGUCAGAAGCUGUGUUGAAGAUAAUGGAAUACAUUGACUUGCCAUUUCCCCGGCUAGCAUUUUUCCUCCACUUUGUGCCUCUGUUCGUGAGGGAUUUUGUUUAUGACAAUGUUGCAAACAACCGUUACACAAUUUUUGGUCGCUCAGAAUCAUGUGAGGUAUAUUAUGAUUGAAAGUUUGAACUCACUCAUUGCACUUAUAUUUGUAUGUAUGUUGUGUAGCACACAUAUGAAAGAUCUUGUGUUUGUUUGUUCGUUGCUCUGUUCAAAAGGACUAGAAUUGUGAGAAUAUGCACAAUUUCAGAUGUAACGAUGUAAUCAUUAUCUGUAUAUAUUUCCAUAGUUCUG